UCAGGUUCUCAGGUACCAGUCCUCUUGUAAACACAGAAAGAAAACACAUACAGUGUCUUUGGCAACCAGGAAACACACAUGCACAAGAAGGACCGUCUCUGCACCUGAGAAAGCCAGACAUCCUGUUACCAUGGCUACUGAAGAACCACAGAACAAAACACAGGGAGACCCCACGAUCGAAGCAGGCGACAUUCAUUACGCUUCUCUGGGCCGUCAGAACUGGAGAGAGAGGCCGCACACUCAGGGCGAGAGACACCAUGUGAUCUACUCCACUGUGGCUGGAGGGCCAGUUUAGUCAGAGGAGGACAGCACUACGUCCUCCCAAAACAAAAACAACCUCCUCACAAAACAAUAACAACGUCCUCAAUGCACUGGAGUAAACUAUUCCUCAGACUGCACUGGUCAUGUAAUGGAGUAUUUCAAAGUAAUGUAACUUUUUAGAUGAUGGUAGAAUUGUAUAACUCUUAUUCAGAAUUUUCAGUGAAGCAUGUUACUUAAGUGUUUCAAAAUAAGCAUUUGACCUAGGACUAUUUCAUUUGCAUACAAUCUUAAGUAAGUGUCACCUGUAAGAUGUACGAAUUGUGGAGGUGAAGUUCGGCUCAUUAUACUAUUUAUAAAAUCAAAGGUCUUAAAUGUCAUAUAGAAUGAAAAGCAGUACUGGAUCUACAUAGCUGUAAUGACAUUAAAUACAUGACCUUAAUUGAAA